GGAGGGGGCGAGCGUUAUUCGGAAUUAUUGGGCGUAAAGGGCAGGUAGGCGGCUUCGUGUGCCUUCUGUGAAAGCCCUCGGCUCAACCGAGGAAUUGCAGGAGAAACUGCGAGGCUUGAGUCCGGGAGAGGCUAGUGGAAUUCCCAGUGUAGCGGUGAAAUGCGUAGAUAUUGGGAGGAACACCAGUGGCGAAGGCGGCUAGCUGGACCGGUACUGACGCUGAGCUGCGAAAGCUAGGGGAGCAAACGGGGGAUUAGAUACCCCGGUAGUCCUGGCUGUAAACGUUGAGCACUUGGUGUGGCGGGUAUCGACCCCCCUGCCCGUGCCGAAGCUAACGCAUUAAGUGCUCCGCCUGGGGAUACGGUCGCAAGGCUG
rnacentral:rRNA from 1 species